GGAUGAACCGAUAAGCAAAUGGGGGGAAAAAAAGGCUCUGCUUAAAAGAAAAAAAAAAAAAAAAAGCAUGCUUUUAAUAUGCUUCCAGAUGGGGGCAAAAUGAUUUACAUGGGAGUUUAUUUCCUCUUUGCUGAUAUGAAAGAAUUACAGAUACAAACCCCACUGAUCUAUAGAAUAAAAAAAAAGAAAAGAAAUGUUAUUUUCCUGUAAAGGUAUCAGUUCAUUUAUAUUCAUUUAACCAUCCAUCCAUCAAUUCACUUUCUCACUCUCUGCACAUUCUCUCUGCCUCUGGUAAACCUACCCCACCAAUAUACUUUUUUGGAAUAUACAAUGAAGUUUCCUUAAGAAAAAAAAAAGGAAAUAAUAUGAGAUUCAGCUGAAGUAGCUAAAGCGAAGUUUCCCUUCUUUACCCACCCAGCGCCUAUUUUAUGUUACAGACUUUUAAGUAAAUCAGCAACGUGGAAAAGAAAAUGUUUGAGUUUGGGGAAAAAAAGUCUGUGUAUAUCUAUAAAUAAUAUAUGCAAUACAGAUGUUCUAUAUGCCCCUACAUGUGUAUAUAUAAUAUAUAUAUAGAGCGGAGUUCGUGUGCUCAACAUGUAUGUAUUGUGUCUCUAUACUUAUGUUAUACAAACAGUUCAUUCUUUACCUAUGUGCGUGCCUAUAAAAUAAAAUAUACGCAUAUUGUACAGAUAUUUACAGCAUUCAUAUAUCGUAAGUACACGUACGUAGAUUUAAACAUACAUCCAGCUUGCGUAUGCUGUAUAUAUGCACAAUAUAUAUGAUGCCCAUGCACAUGCACGUGCAAUGGCAACAUCUCUCUGAAUAGGAGCAGAAUGUUUGUAUAUAAACAUAAAAUAUUUUCUUACAUUCUUAACAUGUAUCCUUUAUGAGCAUUGAGGCACAUAGAGCCUCCUCCAUCCACAUAUAGAGGGAGUGCGGUACUGGAGGGCAGGAAUCAGGCUGGUGGCCUCAGACCUUCACAAUGUAAAGGCCACAUCUGUGUUUUUUGCAUUUGGGAUGGUACCUGAACCUGAGAUGCCAUUUCUUUUAUAGAAGUAGUGACCUGAGAGCAAACCUCUUUCACUCUUAGUAACAACCUCAAGCACUAAAGCAAAGCUGCCCUAGGUGAGCUCUUCCUCGUGGCUGCUGCUUGCUGGGGCUGUACCCGGCGGGAGGUGGCUUCUGUCUUCCCAUGCUCUCCGUGUGAUGGCCCUUAUUUGCAGGAAUAGUUACAAGGAGGAUAAGACUGUGCACCCAAAGAUGGAGGCUGCUAAAUCAUCCAUCAUUUCCUGGAGACCUUCCGGCUGGAGGGAUGAGGAAUAACUUCUUUUUCUGGUCUAAACAUAGAAUCAAAAGCUGUGUAAGGAGUUGCCUUUUUAUUGUUAAAAACAGGUAAAUAGAGAGGCAGCUAGAUAUGAAAAUACCUAUAUAUAGAGAUAAAAAUAUACAUCUUUAUCUUCAGCUGGAUACGGAUAUAGAUCCAAAUGUAAUUUUUCUCAUGGUUGCCAUUAAGAAGAGCCUCAGACAGGGCUUGGGGGGUCCUCACCAUUCUGUUUUUAAAAUCCAUGUAUAAAUAAACUAACCAGCCAAUCACCCCAAGAUCAAACAACCUGGUGACAACAGCUACCUCAUGGAUGCCUGCCCCUUGCAGAUCCCCUGUACAGCUGUGAACCAGAUCAAAGUCUGGAGUUACCAGAUCCCUUAUUGUAAGUGACACCUGCAAAUGUUAGCCUUGCUUCGUGUUUCCAACCCAUACCUGAAUAAAUACAUAAUCAUAUCACACAGCAUAAUUAAUAAGAGUAUCACCAUGAAGGACUCUUAAAGGAAAGGCUGUUGAAAGAGAGUUCCUGAAGAUAAUCCUUUUAAAAGGUUUCCUUAAAAUGCAACCACUAGCGGGAAUAAGGCAGGUUUAGUUCCAACAUCUUAAUACCUCUGGUUAGCACAGUUUUAGAUCUUGUAAAUGUCUUUCCUUUAAUAGUGGCUUGACUUUUGAUUUGGGACUUGCACUUUUUGGAGGAUCUCAUUGCUGCUGUGGUUCUCAAUGGAGAAGGUUCCCAGAGGAGGCCCAGCCUGGCUCCACUUUCUACUGACCCAUCGGGGAUUCACAACCUUGUUUCUGCUGGAAAUCAAAUAUGAUUGCAUCUUGCCUGCUUUAAUAACCUUUGUAACUUCACCAUUCUGGAGCAAGAACUGAUGUCCUUUACUUUUGUUUAACGACCCAUUUGAGUAAUUUUCAGGGUGCUGCUUAAUUUGUCUUUUUUCCUUAUCCUGGAUGGCACCCCAACUCCUGGGUCACGGAAACGGGGCUCGGCUGCUCCCAAGCUCUUUGCUUAGUGGUGUUGCUUGACUCCUCCAUUGUGCUUAGAAAAGUCCUGCGUGUCAUCCACUGCCAGGGUCGGUCCUCAGUUUUGUCUUGAGGAUGUGCAAACGCUGGACAACUCCACACUGUGGAUAUUCACCCUGAUGCAGCAACAUAGUCUGACUUGAGGUCUUCUGGCUCCCCCAGUGUGAGCGUUUCCAGAGGUGAGUCUUUUCACCUAUAAAGCAGAGAUGGAACGAAGUGGGAGGAAGCUCCCCCUUCUGCAAGAUGGUGUAUUUGACAGCAGUGAUGGAACCUGAGGUUGCAAAAGUCCUUUAAGGAGUAUGCAUUUCCAGAUGCUAUUUACUGUAUUAAAAGCUGGUCACCCAAUCCAGGUCCGAAAUGCUUGAACCUGGGAGUUGCUGGCAUCAAACCACUGUGAGUCAGCCAUGUGGGACA